AUAAGAAACUAAAACAUAAAAAAAAAAUUACCAACCCCGAACUUUUUAACAGUAAUGUGUUUUUGCAGAGUUCACAGGUGCUUAUUCUUUAAGUAAACAACCCCUUGAAAUACAUACACAUGCAAUCGACUGGCCGCAUAGUGACUGUCUUCCUGUCAGUGCUUUGUUCUGUUUCCUUCAAGGUUUAUGAUCAAAGUGUGCAGAAAAGGCCAUCAGCACCUCAAUUAAAUUAGUUUGAGAUGUAGCACAGCCAUUGGCGACCACAGCUUCAGUGCUGCCCGCGGUGCAUGUGUGUAUGUCUGUCAGAGCGAGUGCAUGUAAACACACACAUGAGGGCUUAGCUUUGCCCCUAUAGAGAGGUGACAGCGAACACACUUGUCACUUUCUGCAUUGUCAGCAGUGUUGCUAGUGUUCCUGACACUCCAUCAUAUGUUUUUUGGGCUGGUCCGUGGGAAUGGGCAGGAAUAGCUUCCUCUAUCAGUUAGUUCACACAGGAUCCUGUCACCUUCCUCAUCACACACCUAACCGCUGCCAUUCUUAUCCCAGCAGGGUCCAUGGAGAUCUGCAUGCCACUAUAUGGACACUGUCCAUACUGACCACAGGACCAGAAGCCCAGAGCACUGCAUGGGGCACCACAGAUAAGGCCACUCUGCUGCCUGAAAGCUUAAAACAGAGACUCAAAACAGUCUCAGUUAAGUCUCAGCAUCCUGGCAUUGUGAGGAUGACCUAAACCUUGGGCCGACAGAAGCGUGAAGACCAUGGAUUCUUGUGCCAUUUACAACAUCACCGUUCCACUCCAGACAAGUGAAGGAUGGCUGUGAUCCCAGAUGUGCUGCAGUCAUAAGGAUAAAGGGCCGGGGCUGUCACA